GCCGGUGUAGCUCAGGGGUAGAGCAGCUGAUUCGUAAUCAGCAGGUCGGUGGUUCAAAUCCACUCGCCGGCU
rnacentral:tRNA from 2 species